rnacentral:rRNA from 1 species
AGUGAACGCUGGCGGUAGGCCUAACACAUGCAAGUCGAACGGCAGCACAGUAAGAGCUUGCUCUUACGGGUGGCGAGUGGCGGACGGGUGAGGAAUACAUCGGAAUCUACUUUUUCGUGGGGGAUAACGUAGGGAAACUUACGCUAAUACCGCAUACGACCUACGGGUGAAAGCAGGGGAUCUUCGGACCUUGCGCGAUUGAAUGAGCCGAUGUCGGAUUAGCUAGUUGGCGGGGUAAAGGCCCACCAAGGCGACGAUCCGUAGCUGGUCUGAGAGGAUGAUCAGCCACACUGGAACUGAGACACGGUCCCGACUCCUACGGGAGGCAGCAGUGGGGAAUAUUGGACAAUGGGCGCAAGCCUGCUCCAGCCAUACCGCGUGGGUGAAGAAGGCCUUCGGGUUGUAAAGCCCUUUUGUUGGGAAAGAAAAGCAGCAGGUUAAUACCCCGCUGUUCUGACGGUACCCAAAGAAUAAGCACCGGCUAACUUCGUG